UACGUAGGUGACAAGCGUUGUCCGGAUUUACUGGGCGUAAAGAGCGCGCAGGCGGUCGGUCAAGUCGAGUGUGAAAGCCCCCGGCUCAACUGGGGAGGGUCAUUCGAUACUGAUCGACUCGAAGGCAGGAGAGGGUAGUGGAAUUCCCGGUGUAGUGGUGAAAUGCGUAGAUAUCGGGAGGAACACCAGUGGCGAAGGCGACUACCUGGCCUGUUUCUUGACGCUGAGGCGCGAAAGCUAGGGGAGCAAACGGG
rnacentral:rRNA from 1 species